AACGCACAUUGCGCCCUUUGGUAUUCCAAAGGGCAUGCCUGUUCGAGCGUCAUUUGUACCCUCAAGCUUUGCUUGGUGUUGGGCGUUUUGUCUUUGGCCUGCCCAAAGACUCGCCUUAAAACGAUUGGCAGCCGGCCUACUGGUUUCGGAGCGCAGCACAUUUUUGCGCUUGCAAUCAGCAAAAGAGGCCAGCAAUCCAUCAAGACUUCUUCUCACUUUUGACCUCGGAUCAGGUAGGGAUACCCGCUGAACUUAA
rnacentral:misc_RNA from 1 species